CUGCAGCUCCGCGCUGCGGGGCGCUCCGCCGCCAUCUUGAGGCCCGGUAGCCAUGAGGGGUGAAGAGUCAUCACAGAGUAAGGCUACAGCAGUCGUCAUAACGUCAGCUAUUCAGCAGAGAUCUCCGUCAUCCACCAACCAGCAUGAGCUGCAUACAGCCCUGUGCACCACUGGAGGAUUCAAGGGUGAAUAAGGUUCCCUGCUCGCAGUGUGUUUUCAACUGAAUCUCCCAGGAAUUCCUGCUUUGGCCAAGGUUGUGAGAGGGGUUUCUGGCCUCACUCGCUGCGCUGACAUUGAUUCAACAGAAGCCAGAGCUAACGGAUGUGAUCGCUGGGGAGACCUGCUAGCAACUGACCAGGUAGAGGGUUUGGGGGAAACAGCAGUUUCUCCAAAGUGCCUCGGACAUUCUGGAGUGAGGCGA